UACGUAGGGGGGCAAGCGUUGUCCGGAAUUACUGGGCGUAAAGCGUGCGCAGGCGGCUUUGCAAGACAGAUGUGAAAUCCCCGGGCUUAACCUGGGAACUGCAUUUGUGACUGCAUGGCUGGAGUGCGGCAGAGGGGGAUGGAAUUCCGGCGUGUAGCAGUGAAAUGCGUAGAUAUGCGGAGGAACACCGAUGGCGAAGGCAAUCCCCUGGGCCUGCACUGACGCUCCAUGCACGAAAGCGUGGGGAGCAAACAGG
rnacentral:rRNA from 1 species